GCGGAUGUAGUUCAGUUGGUUAGAACGUCAGACUGUGAAUCUGAAUGUCGUGGGUUCAAGUCCCAUCAUUCGCCCCA
rnacentral:tRNA from 1 species